GGUCCUGUGGCUCAAUGGCAGAGCUUUCGACUCCAGAUCGAAGGGUUGCGAGUUCGAUUCUCGUCGGGACCA